rnacentral:rRNA from 1 species
CUGUGAGCUCGAUGAGUAGGGCGGGACACGUGGUAUCCUGUCUGAAUAUGGGGGGACCAUCCUCCAAGGCUAAAUACUCCUGACUGACCGAUAGUGAACCAGUACCGUGAGGGAAAGGCGAAAAGAACCCCGGCGAGGGGAGUGAAAAAGAACCUGAAACCGUGUACGUACAAGCAGUGGGAGCACGCUUAGGCGUGUGACUGCGUACCUUUUGUAUAAUGGGUCAGCGACUUAUAUUCUGUAGCAAGGUUAACCGAAUAGGGGAGCCGAAGGGAAACCGAGUCUUAACUGGGCGUUAAGUUGCAGGGUAUAGACCCGAAACCCGGUGAUCUAGCCAUGGGCAGGUUGAAGGUUGGGUAACACUAACUGGAGGACCGAACCGACUAAUGUUGAAAAAUUAGCGGAUGACUUGUGGCUGGGGGUGAAAGGCCAAUCAAACCGGGAGAUAGCUGGUUCUCCCCGAAAGCUAUUUAGGUAGCGCCUCGUGAAUUCAUCUCCGGGGGUAGAGCACUGUUUCGGCAAGGGGGUCAUCCCGACUUACCAACCCGAUGCAAACUGCGAAUACCGGAGAAUGUUAUCACGGGAGACACACGGCGGGUGCUAACGUCCGUCGUGAAGAGGGAAACAACCCAGACCGCCAGCUAAGGUCCCAAAGUCAUGGUUAAGUGGGAAACGAUGUGGGAAGGCCCAGACAGCCAGGAUGUUGGCUUAGAAGCAGCCAUCAUUUAAAGAAAGCGUAAUAGCUCACUGGUCGAGUCGGCCUGCGCGGAAGAUGUAACGGGGCUAAACCAUGCACCGAAGCUGCGGCAGCGACGCUUAUGCGUUGUUGGGUAGGGGAGCGUUCUGUAAGCCUG